UGAAUCAUCGAAUCUUUGAACGCACCUUGCGCCCUUUGGCUAUUCCGAAGGGCAUGCCUGUUUGAGUAUCAUG
rnacentral:rRNA from 1 species